rnacentral:piRNA from 1 species
AACNGGAUUUAACUCGUGCACUUGUGUUGA